rnacentral:rRNA from 1 species
CCAGACUCCUACGGGAGGCAGCAGUGAGGAAUAUUGGUCAAUGGUCGGGAGACUGAACCAGCCAAGCCGCGUGAGGGAUGAAGGUACAGAGUAUCGUAAACCUCUUUUGUCAGGGAACAAAGGCGGGGACGUGUCCCCGGAUGAGUGUACCUGAAGAAAAAGCAUCGGCUAACUCCGUGCCAGCAGCCGCGGUAAUACGGAGGAUGCGAGCGUUAUCCGGAUUUAUUGGGUUUAAAGGGGGCGCAGGCGGCUGUUAAGGCCGGGGGGAAAGGCCGGGGGCCCACCCCCGGCGAGCCGUUGAAACUGGCGGGCUGGAGUUGGAGAGAAGUACGCGGAAUGCGCGGUGUAGCGGUGAAAUGCUUAGAUAUCGCGCAGAACCCCGAUUGCGAAGGCAGCGUACCGGCUCCACACUGACGCUGAGGCACGAAAGCGUGGGUAUCGAACAGGAUUAGAUACCCCCGUAAAC